UCCGGUGGCUAUGGCGAAGGGGAAACACCUGGUCCCAUUCCGAACCCAGAAGUUAAGCCCUUCUGCGCCGAUGGUACUGCUUGGGAGACUGGGCGGGAGAGUAGGUCGCCGCCGGGA
rnacentral:rRNA from 1 species